UGGGGCCUUCAUUGUGACAUCACAAGAUUCUGAUUCUGGGAGGUUAGCUGUUGCACAGACAAACAGAACAGUGCAAAGAGACUGAUUCAACUAACCACUGACAGAUUAUUCAUGUCCUAUUUCAUUAGCAAGAGAACACGCUGCUUACUUGAGAGACUUAUUGUUAGCUAGGAGGAAGACAUGGAGGGUUCAACGCUGACACAGAGGAGGGCUGAGUGUCAGUUGAAGGAUAGGGAGAUCCAGACAGACUACAUGAUGGAGCUGGGAGCCAGGUUGGUUCUGGUGAGACAGAUCCAGAGGGAGCAGGAGAAGGAGAUGAAGAGGAUUUGGUUUGAGACGAGGAAAAUGCCAAGCCUGAUUGAGGAGAAUGUGAGAGAUGUGACCAAA